rnacentral:tRNA from 1 species
GCCGAGGUGGUGGAAUUUGGUAGACACGCUAUCUUGAGGGGGUAGUGACCUACGGUCGUGCGGGUUCAAAUCCCGCCCUCGGCACCA